rnacentral:misc_RNA from 1 species
GAUGAAGAACGUAGCGAAAUGCGAUAAGUAAUGUGAAUUGCAGAAUUCAGUGAAUCAUCGAAUCUUUGAACGCACCUUGCGCCUUUUGGUAUUCCGAAAGGCACACCUGUUUGAGCGUCAUGAAUACCUCAAUCUCCAUCUUUUCUUCGGAUUGAUGGGUGACUUGGAUGUUGAGCCCUGCUGGUAUGCUAUAUCAGCUGGCUUUAAACUUAUUAGCCGGCUCUGUACUGGAUCGGUUUGACUCGACGUGAUAAUAUUAUCGUUGAUGAUGCAUGUCUCAUGCAGCCGGAAAGUAUCAUAGCAGCUUCUAGCUUGCCUUUAGUGCACUUUUACAUGUUAGACCUCAGAUCAGGUGGGACUACCCGCUGAACUUAAGCAUAUCAAUAAGCGGAGGA